rnacentral:rRNA from 1 species
CCUACGGGAGGCAGCAGUGAGGAAUAUUGGUCAAUGGACGAGAGUCUGAACCAGCCAAGUAGCGUGAAGGAUGACUGCCCUAUGGGUUGUAAACUUCUUUUAUAUGGGAAUAAAACGUUCCACGUGUGGGAUUUUGUAUGUACCAUAUGAAUAAGGAUCGGCUAACUCCGUGCCAGCAGCCGCGGUAAUACGGAGGAUCCGAGCGUUAUCCGGAUUUAUUGGGUUUAAAGGGAGCGUAGGUGGAUUGUUAAGUCAGUUGUGAAAGUUUGCGGCUCAACCGUAAAAUUGAAGUUGAAACUGGCAGUCUUGAGUACAGUAGAGGUGGGCGGAAUUCGUGGUGUAGCGGUGAAAUGCUUAGAUAUCACGAAGAACUCCGAUUGCGAAGGCAGUUCACUGGACUGCAACUGACACUGAGGCUCGAAAGUGUGGGUAUCAAACAGGAUUAGAUACCCGAGUAGUC